rnacentral:rRNA from 1 species
UACGGAGGAUGCGAGCGUUAUCCGGAUUUAUUGGGUUUAAAGGGUGCGUAGGCGGGCUUUUAAGUCAGCGGUAAAAAUUCGGGGCUCAACCCCGUCCGGCCGUUGAAACUGGGGGCCUUGAGUGGGCGAGAAGAAGGCGGAAUGCGUGGUGUAGCGGUGAAAUGCAUAGAUAUCACGCAAAACCCCGAUUGCGAAGGCAGCCUUCCGGCGCCCUACUGACGCCGAGGCACGAAAGUGCGGGGAUCGAACAGG